GUGUACUUGGAAGCCUUUUGUAUAAUAGAGUCAAGAAGGUUAUUCUGUUGGGAAUUUCAUCUGGUUUCAGGGAGUUAAUUUUAGCGGCAUGUUGGAGGCGUCCGAUGUGAGGCUGCAUGCAGUAUCUUACUUAUUACCGAGGGGGCGAAGCCACGCACAGACUUAAAGGCUCCUGGGCAUUACAAGGGCGGCCUGAAAUCCUCCGAGCGCCACCGUAAUCCAGCUGCCAUCAUCCAUUCUGCCGUGGUUUGAGAUGAAACGUCCCAGCUGUCAUCGGCUCUUUGAGGUGGUUUUCAGGAGACACAUGGGGAUCUGCAGCCUCCUGUGAAGAAAGUGUCAUUUCCGUCUCACACGGCUUCACCGCGCUCAAGUAGAGAAGACGGUUCAAAUCAAGGAGGUCUGUGAUACCUGGAAAGAGCUAUCCGUUAGUGUUCCCAUUCAUCUCAAUGGCAGUUCCUCAUUUGGUGCAGGACCUCCAAGAAUACGCGAUUAGAAAUCUGCAAUCUGCUGCCAGGUUGUUUGAGCCAUA